GCGAGUUAAAAAUUUCACCUUGAAGUACCGAACCAUGAAAGACUAACAUCAGCUUCUUCAUUCCCUCUUCUUUUGUCUGAUGAUAGCAGUUUAUUGCGGAACUUUGGCAUGAUGGGGUUCUAUAUCACGCCCUCCUCCCUCAUAGGUGGGAGAAACCACGAGUUCGCAGAUGGAAAGCGGCCAGAUACUGUAUGCCAAUUAUCCUUUCCCGUGAGAAUAUAUUAAUGACAUGUUGCUGGAGUUUGUUGGGCCCCUCUAUGAUGAGGUAUACCAUUUAGAUGUUUCAUAAAUCGAUGAUAUCCAUGUUGUGACUGACUGUAGUAUAUUGCAAUAUAUCUUAUGCCAAAACAGAAUGGAUGUUAUCUUUGGGAUUAUGUUAUUUGUUUUGUAUAAUUCCCUAUUGACUUUAUUAUUUCUGGUAAUGCUGCAAGUAUAG